GUAUAAUGAUGAAAUCCAUGCGUGUCAACUGACUCUGUAAACCGCUGGUGUGUUGGUCCUCUUGGUGGCGUUUUGCUGCCUUGAGUCUUCAGCACAUCAAGGUUGCAGAGACAUGAUCAUACCUCACUACUUCUGAAUAC